rnacentral:tRNA from 1 species
GCCUUAUUAGCUCAAUUGGUAGAGCGUUUGUUUUGUAAGCAAAAGGUUUUCAGUUCAAUUCUGAAAUAAGGCU